AGCUUGUACGAUUGUCAAACAAUAGUUAGAAGACAUGUGUAGUGGGACCUAAAUAGUUGCAGUCUUGGCCAUAAAAAAAUAGAAACUGUCAACGUUGACGACAGCAGCGUUUAAUGGCAUUCAAUUUAUGGCUGUGGGAAUUGUGUGAGUAGUGAGGAAUGGAUAGAGAUAGAGACGUAGAGGGGUGGCGUAGUGUUGUGGGUGCGUAGCGCGUUUAUCAGUUGAGCAGCUCGUUCAGUUAGUGCACCUGGCUUAAUUGUCAUGUGUCGGUUAUGGUCAAUUAGUCAAGAACGCAGUUGCUAUCAAAUGUUUGCCCAAGGCUCGCCUAGGACGUGCAUGCGUACGUGUGUGUGUGUGUGUUAGUUGUAGGUGUCUGUGUGUGUGUGUGUGUGAAUGCCGGCAUAGUGCAAUAACGGGGCACAAAGUCACAAAGUGAGCGCGCUGUUUUUGCCGUCUCAUUCACGCGGCUGUUGCCAUCUUUGUCUCUGCUGCUCGCUGCUGCUGGCUUUGCAAAUGCAAAAUGCUUGGCAUGCCUUUUGCGCCCUGACGUAUGCAGCAGUUGGUCACAUUUUUCAACGCCACACACACACACACACAGACACAGACAAACGAGUGUCGGUGUGUGUGUUCGCUCUGUUCGUUUCGUUUCGUUUCUUCGUUCACUCGUUCGCUGCUCGUUUUUACUUGCUUGCUUGCCUGCUUGCUUCUCGCUGCUCUCGUCGCUUCGAUGGCUUGUGCUUUCGUUUGUCCUGUCCUGGGCCUGUCCCAAUGACCGAGUGUGGCGUGGCAUGGCGCCGCGCUCUCUCUAUCUCUCACUCUCUCUCUCCGCCCGAAACUGGAAACUGGCACACAGCCGAUGUCGAUGCCGUUGCCGUUGCCGUUACCGAUGCCUGAAGUCGGUAGCUGCCGCUGUCGACGAAGCUUCAAAGCCGAAGCGAUUGCCACAAAACUCAACGAAAGUCGCACUCUGUGAACGCACACGCGCUGCGGCAGCUGACAGUUUCAGUGAACCACGGAGACGAACGGAUUACGGCGCUGGGAACCAACAAAACAGUAAAUAAUAAUACAAACCAAAAAAAAAAAGAAAAACAAAAUACCAGAAAAACCCAUGAAAUAAAAUAGCAAAGAAAGUAAAACAAAAAACAACAACACCAAUAAAUAAAAUAGUUAAAAAAAACAAAACAACAAAGCACGCGUACGCAUCGCAAAACAACACAAAAAAAAACAACAAAA